GUCUCCUUCCUCUGUAUAUAAUAAGUGUUUUUGGAAAACUGGUUCACAUAUCCUGAAGUCAAUAGCGAAUAUGGCUAUGAAUAUAUUUCAUUUGCCGUUAAUGUAUUGAAGACCUAUUUCAGCAAGUUAACCAAGUUUUUGCUGGCUUAGCUAGCCAUGUUAACGAUGAGCUAACUUAACUAGCACUGUUGGUCACUGCACUACAAUGUCACGCUAGCUAUUGCCAGCAGGUGAUUUGCUAGCAGGUGACUUAAUGAAAUAUUAAGUGCAUGUUUAUUUUCUUACUACCUUUUAAAAGGUUUAUAUAAAAGGGUUGUACUUGUGCUCUGUAUUUAUGGAUUAAUAUCACUUCACAUUGAGGGUAUGUAUCACUACUGUUGCUCCUAUCUAAAAGAUAUCUUGUGGGCUACCUAACCAGUGAACGUUUGUGGCUGUGACCGUCCUGUCAAUGCCUGUCAUCACUGUUUGACAUCUUUUACUGCAGCAUCUGCUCUCCAACAGCACAGGGGCCUGUAGCACAGUCAGGUCAAACAGGAAGGGGAUGCCGGCAUUCGGAUGCAGGAAGAUAAAGAGAGGGGAGGUGGAGUUCAAGGAGAACGGUCAACAGCUGGCAGUAAAGUGGCAUGACAAACGAGACGUCCAUGUCCUCUCCACUGUCCAUACAGCAGCCAUGUGGACCAACUGACGGGAGAGAGAAAAAUCAAACCAGACUAACUAACAGAUAAAGUAACCUACCAAAAGUACAGAGAGAAGCUUAUGAGGGAGCUGCUGGAGGAGCACCACACCCAUCAGCGCCCAUCCACUGGGGGUCGUUCUGCUGCGGACAAUCCCCUAAGCCUCACUGCAUGGCAUUUUCCCUGCAAAGUCCCUCAAACUGCUGCUCAAGGUAGUCGCACACAGAGGCACUGCAAAGUUUGCCUGUCUGGCACCAGGAGAAGAAAGCAGAGGAAGUUGUCAAUAUACAUGCAUUUAGCUUGUGAUAUACCUCUAUGUAUUUCACCAUGCUUUGGGGAGUAUCAUAUGCUCAAGCAAUAUUGAGCACAUCUGCAGCAAUUAGUGACUGACUGAUGGACCUGACAGGUGACUUUCCUUCCAUGAUACUAGUUGUUGUUCAAUCACUGCAUGAAUAUUAAAUACGGGUUAUGGAUAUUCCGUUUUUUUUCCUCUAGUAAAACGUGUUCAACCAACCACCACCAUUACUUACAUAUUGGCCUUUGUUUUCUUGCUGUGUUUUCAUCCAGUAAAACUGUUAAGGAGUGUACGGUAGCAUACAAAAGCUGGCCUCAAUCUGCAGCUGUCCAGUUCUAGUUAUGAUAUUAGCAAAUACUGUUUGUGGUUUCUGAAAGUACAGAAUAGAGGUAUUCUAAUGAAUAAUAAUUCAAUAAAGGAUAUAGCAAUAAAACAAUAUUACAAAGAAGUAGCAUAAUAAACACUGCUAAAAAAAAUGGUAUUGCAUUGACAAAAUCACAAAUUUGAGUUAUAACAGUAACUUUUGAGCUCCACAAGGGAGCAAGGCAGGGCAGAACAGAGCUAUGCUAAUAGGCCAACUGAAAACAAACCAUGGUUAUAUUUUUUAUUUUAUUUAACCAGGCAAGUCAUUUAACAAUAAAUUAUUAUUUACAAUGACAGCCUACACCAGCCAAACUAUGAAGAUGCAAGGCCAAUUGUGCGCCGCCCUAUGGGACUCCCAA